rnacentral:lncRNA from 10 species
GUACCUUUAGGUUCAGAGAAACCUUUAGGCUUAACUUAAAAUAUGUAAGAAGGCAGCUUUAGGCUAGACUUGUUUUAACAAUUCCCCCUUUUUGAUCAUUCUCUCAAAAUUUGGUCAAAAUUGAGAAGAUGACCAAAACUUUAGUCACUGAUGGCACUAUUACCAUCAUAAAUGUACAUAUUUGCUCUUGGUGGCUCACACCUGUAAUCCCAGCACUUUGGGAGGCCGAGGCAGGCAGAUCACGAGGUCAGGAGAUCGAGACCAUCCUGGCUAACACAGUGAAACUCUGUUUCUACUAAAAAUACAAAAAAUUAGCCGGGCAUGGUGGCAGGGACCUGCAGUGCCAGCUACUCGGGAGGCUGAGGCAGGAGAAUUGUUUGAACCCGCGAGGUGGAGGUUGCAAUGAGCCGAAAUUGCGCCACAGCAUUCUGGCCUGGCAACAGAGCAAGACUCUGCCU